UAUUUAGGCGCGGAGGUAAUCUUAACCGUCGGUAGAUUUAUCAAAACUUUCACAACGGAUCUCUUGGUUCUCGCAUCGAUGAAGAACGCAGCGAAUUGCGAUACGUAAUAUGACUUGCAGACGUGAAUCAUUGAAUCUUUGAACGCACAUUGCGCCCCGGGGUAUUCCCCAGGGCAUGCGUGGGUGAGCGAUAUUUACUCUCAAACCUCCGGUUUGGUCCUGCUUCGGCCUAAUAUCAACGGCGCUAGAAUAAGUUUUAGCCCCAUUCUUUUUCCUCACCCUCGUAAGACUACCCGCUGAACUUAAGCAUAUCAAAAGCGGAGGAAUAGGUAGA
rnacentral:rRNA from 1 species